GCCAGGCACAGUGUUGUAUGCCUGUAAUCCCAGCGGCUCAGGAGGCUGAGGCAAGAGGAUUGCGAGUUCAAAGCUAGCCUCAG
rnacentral:sRNA from 1 species